UUAUCGAGUUCUUGAAACGGGUUGUAGCUGGCCUUACGAAGGCAUGUGCACGCCCUGCUCAAUCCACUCUACACCUGUGCACUUACUGUGGGUCUUCGAGCAAUGGGGGUUUAUAAUUUCUUAUAAGCCUUCGUUUGAAGCCCACGUUUACACACAAACACUUAUAAAGUAAAAGAACGUGUAUUGCGAUGUAACGCAUCCAUAAUACAACUUUCAGCAACGGAUCUCUUGGCUCUCGCAUCGAUGAAGAACGCAGCGAAAUGCGAUAAGUAAUGUGAAUUGCAGAAUUCAGUGAAUCAUCGAAUCUUUGAACGCACCUUGCGCUCCUUGGUAUUCCGAGGAGCACGCCUGUUUGAGUGUCGUGUAAUUCUCAAACUUACCCGUCUUUGCGGAUGGUGUAAGGCUUGGAUGUUGGAGGUCUAUUGUCGGUUUGUAACGAACCGGCUCCUCUUAAAUGCAUUAGCUCAGUCCUUUGUGGAUCGGCUCCCAGUGUGAUAAUUAUCUGCGCUGCGACCGUGAAGCGUUUUAUUAUGGCGAGCUUCUAAUGGUCUCUUCAAUGAGACAAGUAACACUUUGACAAUCUGACCUCAAAUCAGGCGGGACUACC
rnacentral:rRNA from 1 species